ACGCGCCCUGGCCGGAGCUGUUCGACGGCGCGUGGGCCGCAUCCCCGCAGAGGACCAUGCGGCCGCGAUGCCAGUGCGGCACCCGCGGCAUGAUC
rnacentral:tRNA from 1 species